rnacentral:rRNA from 1 species
GAUUAAGUUAUUAAGGGCGCACGGUGGAUGCCUUGGCACUAGAAGCCGAUGAAGGACGUUACUAACGACGAUAUGCUUUGGGGAGCUGUAAGUAAGCUUUGAUCCAGAGAUUUCCGAAUGGGGAAACCCAGCAUGAGUUAUGUCAUGUUAUCGAUAUGUGAAUACAUAGCAUAUCAGAAGGCACACCCGGAGAACUGAAACAUCUUAGUACCCGGAGGAAGAGAAAGAAAAUUCGAUUCCCUUAGUAGCGGCGAGCGAAACGGGAAGAGCCCAAACCAACAAGCUUGCUUGUUGGGGUUGUAGGACACUCUAUACGGAGUUACAAAGGACGACAUUAGACGAAUCAUCUGGAAAGAUGAAUCAAAGAAGGUAAUAAUCCUGUAGUCGAAAAUGUUGUCUCUCUUGAGUGGAUCCUGAGUACGACGGAGCACGUGAAAUUCCGUCGGAAUCUGGGAGGACCAUCUCCUAAGGCUAAAUACUCUCUAGU